CGAAUCACCUGUCGCCUGGUGCAUAGAUCAUGCAGAAACAACCAUAUAAAUAACUAACAUAAGAGUACUGAAAGAUGAUUUGGGGAAGUAAAUGAGACUAAUUAAGUUUCUUUAGGAUAAAUUCAUAUUUUAGAGAAAAACAAAUUAUAGUAGAUAAAAAUAUACAUCAACUAAAACUGAAAUAUGAAAAGAAAAACUUGGGGAAAUCAGCUGUAACAAGAUUGACAUCUUAAAUCUUUGGACGGGUCCAGAGGUUCAGUCCAUUAUAAUCAAUGCAGGAAGCAUGGCAGCAUCCAGGCAGUCGUGGCACUGGAGGAGUCUUAACUGAGCUUUGGGAAGUUGGAAUGGACAUGGGUCUACUUCUGCGUGAAGGAAUGACUCAGGAGGAGCAUCAUCCCUCAGGAGUGUGAGGGCCAAGGAAAAGAUCAGUACCUCAGCAUCCCUAGCUCCCAGAAAGGCGCUCCACAUGUAAGUACACCAUGAAGACCUGUAAUGGUUUGUAUAUGCUCGGCCCAGAAGUGGCACUAUUAGAAUGUGUGGCCCUGUUGGAGUAGGUGUGUCACUGUGGGUGUGGGCUCUAAGACCAUCACCCUAGCUGCCUGGAAGUCAGUCUUCCAUUAGCAGCUUUCAGGUGAAGAAUUAGAACUCUCGGCUCUGCCUGCACCAUGCCUGCCUGGAUGUUGCCAUGCUCCCACCUUGAUGAUAAUGGACUGAACCUC